UACGUAGGGACCAAGCGUUGUCCGGAAUCAUUGGGCGUAAAGAGCGUGUAGGCGGCUUAUCAAGUCCUGCGUGAAAUCUCGGGGCUCAACUCCGAGCGGUCGUGGGAAACUGGUUGGCUAGAGUGCGGGAGAGGAGAGUGGAAUUCCCAGUGUAGCGGUGAAAUGCGCAGAUAUUGGGAACGAAGCACCCGUGGGCGAGGGCGGCUCUCUGGAACGCAACUGACGCUG
rnacentral:rRNA from 1 species